rnacentral:rRNA from 1 species
ACUCCUACGGGAGGCAGCAGUGGGGAAUAUUGCACAAUGGGCGCAAGCCUGAUGCAGCCAUGCCGCGUGUAUGAAGAAGGCCUUCGGGUUGUAAAGUACUUUCAGCAGUGAGGAAGGUGGGAUAUGUUAAUAGCAUGCAUUCAUUUUGACGUUAGCUGCAGAAAGAAGCACCGGGCUAACUCCGUGCCAGCAGCCGCGGUAAUACGGAGGGUGCGAGCGUUAAUCGGAAUUACUGGGCGUAAAAGCGCAUGCAGGUGGUUUGUUAAGUCAGAUGUGAAAGCCC